AACGAACGCUGGCGGCAGGCUUAACACAUGCAAGUCGAACGAAGUCUUCGGACUUAGUGGCAGACGGGUGAGUAACGCGUGGGAACCUACCUUUCGGUACGGAACAACAGUUGGAAACGACUGCUAAUACCGUAUGCGCCCUAUGGGGGAAAGAUUUAUCGCCGAAGGAUGGGCCCGCGUUGGAUUAGCUAGUUGGUUGGGUAAUGGCUGACCAAGGCGACGAUCCAUAGCUGGUCUGAGAGGAUGAUCAGCCACACUGGGACUGAGACACGGCCCAGACUCCUACGGGAGGCAGCAGUGGGGAAUAUUGGACAAUGGGGGCAACCCUGAUCCAGCCAUGCCGCGUGAGUGAUGAAGGCCCUAGGGUUGUAAAGCUCUUUCAGCGAGGAGGAUAAUGACGUUACUCGCAGAAGAAGCCCCGGCUAACUUCGUGCCAGCCGCCGCCGUAACAC
rnacentral:rRNA from 1 species